GAAUCGGCACUGACGAAGAAGAGUACUUAAUAAAAACCCUAAAGAGAGCUGAUGGUUGGUGAGAAUCAGCGGGAUAUUUUAUUAAGGAAUGGACUUCUGAGCUCCAAACCGAACCGUUAACUGAAGUAGGCCUUGGCGAAUUCGUCUCUCGUUAUCGAGACUAAGUAGAUAAUUUAUUAUCUUACUUUCAAAGUGAGCUGAACUUCAGCUAAUAAAGGUGGUACCACGGUCCCUCGUCCUUUUU
rnacentral:ncRNA from 1 species